GCUUGGAUGGCUCAGUUGGUUAGAGCGCAGGUCUCAUACAUUCAGUAUGACCGUUUCGGCGGGUAAUCCUGAGGUCGUGAGUUCGAUCCUCACUCCGAGCA